ACACAGCUGCUUCUUUUGCUCUCUUCCUACUUUCUUGUGCUUUGCCCCUCCCCUUUCCCAGGUGAUUGGGUUUGGGUGCUGGGCGGGGCUAAAUGCUAUAUGAGCCCCAGGCAUGGCAUCAGAGAGCUCAUUCUGCCUGGGCUGCCCUUUGGGAGGACUAAAACCAGCUUGACUGCGUGCUACAUGUGGCUUGGCAGUGUAGAUGCAGCAUUACCAAGAGACUGAGCAGGGUUGUAUCAGAGUCACCUCUUUCAUCUGCAAAGGGUGCUUUGUGCAGUCGUGGACAGGGAAGGGAAAUCCUCAUGUCAUGAAGCUCUGAGGGAAG